rnacentral:rRNA from 1 species
UACGUAGGGCGCAAGCGUUAUCCGGAAUUAUUGGGCGUAAAGAGCUCGUAGGCGGUUUGUCGCGUCUGCCGUGAAAGUCCGGGGCUCAACCCCGGGAGGCGGGUGGAUACUGUCGGACUAGAGUGCGGAAGAGGCGAGUGGAAUUCCCGGUGUAGCGGUGGAAUGCGUAGAGAUCCGGAAGAACACCGGAGGCGAAGGCGGCUUGCUGGGCUUGGUCUGACGCUGAGGCGCGAAAGCGUGGGGAGCGAACAGG